GUUUAUCAUAGGAAAAACUCUCUUCAAUUAAAUAUAUUUUUUACCAAUCACAAUGGAAACCAAUUGGAGAAUUCAAUCAUUCACCAUCGAGAGUCUUAUAAGUCUUUUUUCAUCGAGAAUCCAAUUCUCAUCGAGUAUCUUUUCACGUCUCAUCAUUUUGAGAUCGAUCUUUGAUAAUAGUUGUUAAAUGAUGAUUAGGGAGCUCGUGUACUCAUGAUCCUGAUACACAUGUUUGAAACCCUAAUCUAUAUAUUAUUAAGUUUGAAGUUCAUUAGCAUAUAUAUAUAUAUAUAUAUAUAUAUAUAUAUAUAUAUAUAUAUAUAUAUAUGUUAUUUAGUAUUAUUAUUAUUAUUGUUGUUGUACAUCAAUCGUUCAUCCCAACACAAUGCAAAAUAACGUUUUGAUCUACCUAGUUUAAAAGAAAUUAAAGUUAGAACCAUGAGGAACUCGAAUUAAUGUGCAUGGUGAUUCCGUAGCCAAGAAAUCAAAAGUGCAUAUGCCAUUAUUUUAGCUUUUAAGGGAGGAUAAAGUGGGGACCUAAUUAAAAAAGUAGUGUUGAAUUCUUUUCUACUACUACUACUAGUUUACUAUCUGCACUUAAUUCCCAGUUUCCAUAUGCCAUUAUCUUUAGCGGCAAGGAGGUUGACGAUCUACUCUACGUACAUUAAAUAAAUGGUUCAAAUUCUCUAAUUCGAAAAAUAGUAGUAGUAAUACUAAUCUCCCUUUCCUGUCUUGCUUCUAGUACGUACUUCAUAAUAUUAUUUGUAGGCUGUAGCAAUUAUGAAAGAAACCUUUGCACUUUUAAUGUUUUUACCCUCUUACAAAUCAGAUUUAUCCAAACUCAUUAAGUCUUUUUUUUGUUUGUCAACGAAUGCUUAAAUAAUGACUUUUGACGGACUGUUGAUGAUC
rnacentral:lncRNA from 1 species